AGUGAACGCUGGCGGUAGGCCUAACACAUGCCAGUCGAACGGCAGCACAGUAAGAGCUUGCUCUUACGGGUGGCGAGUGGCGGACGGGUGAGGAAUACAUCGGAAUCUACUUUUUCGUGGGGGAUAACGUAGGGAAACUUACGCUAAUACCGCAUACGACCUACGGGUGAAAGCAGGGGAUCUUCGGACCUUGCGCGAUUGAAUGAGCCGAUGUCGGAUUAGCUAGUUGGCGGGGUAAAGGCCCACCAAGGCGACGAUCCGUAGCUGGUCUGAGAGGAUGAUUCGCCAGCCUGGAACUGAGAAACGGCACAGACUCCUACGGGAGGAAGCAGUGGGGAAUAUUGGGCAAUGGGGGCAAGCCUGAUCCAGGCAUACCGCGUGGGUGAAGAAGGCCUUCGGGUUGUAAAGCCCUUUUGUUGGGAAAGAAAAGCAGCAGGUUAAUACCCCGCUGUUCUGACGGUACCCAAAGAAUAAGCACCGGCUAACUUCGUG
rnacentral:rRNA from 1 species